UAACAAGGAGCAGGCUUGUGGGGCCAGAAGU
rnacentral:piRNA from 2 species